rnacentral:rRNA from 1 species
GAUGAACGCUGGCGGCGUGCCUAAUACAUGCAGGUCGAGCGAACAGACGAGGAGCUUGCUCCUCUGACGUUAGCGGCGGACGGGUGAGUAACACGUGGAUAACCUACCUAUAAGACUGGGAUAACUUCGGGAAACCGGAGCUAAUACCGGAUAACAUGUUGAACCGCAUGGUUCAACAGUGAAAGACGGUCUUGCUGUCACUUAUAGAUGGAUCCGCGCCGCAUUAGCUAGUUGGUAAGGUAACGGCUUACCAAGGCAACGAUGCGUAGCCGACCUGAGAGGGUGAUGGGCCACACAGGAACUGAGACACGGUCCAGACUCCUACGGGAGGCAGCAGUAGGGAAUCUUCCGCAAUGGGCGAAAUCCUGACGGAGCAACGCGGCGGGAGUGAAGAAGGUCUGCGGAUCGUAAAACUCUGUUAUUAGGGAAGAACAAAUGUGUAAGUAACGUUGCACGUCUGGACGGUACCUAUCAGAAAGCCACGGCUAACUACGUG